GAGGGGGAUAACGAUUGGAAACGAUCGCUAAUACCGCAUGACAUAGCGGAAUCGCAUGGUUCUGUUAUCAAAGAUUUUAUCGCUGAUAGAUGGGCUCGCGUCCGAUUAGGUAGUUGGUGGGGUAACGGCCUACCAAGUCGACGAUCGGUAGCCGGACUGAGAGGUCGAACGGCCACAUUGGGACUGAGACACGGCCCAGACUCCUACGGGAGGCAGCAGUGGGGGAUAUUGCACAAUGGGGGAAACCCUGAUGCAGCGACGCCGCGUGAGGGAAGACGGUCCUCUGGAUUGUAAACCUCUGUCUUCGGGGACGAAACGGGACGGUACCCGAGGAGGAAGCCACGGCUAACUAC
rnacentral:rRNA from 1 species